rnacentral:rRNA from 1 species
AUUGAACGCUGGCGGAAUGCUUUACACAUGCAAGUCGAACGGUAGAGGGGGCAACCCCUCGAGAGUGGCGAACGGGUGAGUAAUAUAUCGGAACGUGCCCAGUCGUGGGGGAUAACGUAGCGAAAGUUACGCUAAUACCGCAUACGAUCUAAGGAUGAAAACGGGGGAUCGCAAGACCUCGCGCGAUUGGAGCGGCCGAUAUCAGAUUAGGUAGUUGGUGGGGUAAAGGCUCACCAAGCCAACGAUCUGUAGCUGGUCUGAGAGGACGACCAGCCACACUGGAACUGAGACACGGUCCAGACUCCUACGGGAGGCAGCAGUGGGGAAUUUUGGACAAUGGACGCAAGUCUGAUCCAGCCAUUCCGCGUGCAGGAUGAAGGCCCUCGGGUUGUAAACUGCUUUUGUACGGAACAAAAAGGUCUCUCUUAAUACGGGGGACUCAUGACGGUACCGUAAGAAUAAGCACCGGCUAACUACGUGCCAGCCGCCGCCGUAAUAC